CUUGCUUCUCUCUCUAAAAGCUUUUAUGAAAUUCUUUCUUCUCUGCAUAAUCUUUGUGAUAAUUCAAGAUAGUUAAUAUGGUAUCCAGAGCAGGUUCGAGAUUUACAGUGGAGUUUUUUGGGAGCGCCGAUUGUGAUCUUCGUACUUUUCUGGUGAUUUCUGUCUCGCCGACUGCGAUUUCCGGUGAUUUCGUACUCUCUGUCUCUGCUAGGACAAGGUAACCAAGGAGGUUAUUUACCCAGGCAAGAGUAGGCAAAAUGAGUUGUUUCAGAUUCCUAUUUUCAAGACUCUGCAUUCUUCAGUACAACAUCUUCCAGCUUCAACAUAUCUUGGGCAAUUAAUCAAGUCUUCUGUGUGGCAUUAACGGCUGGGGCAUCCUACUAAUGAGGUCUUAUCUAUUAUGUUACAACAGUCACAAAUAAAUUAUGUAGUAGAUGAUCAAUGUACAAUGUGACACUCGUGUAUUCAGGGGAAAAUGUCAAGAUUACCCUUUCCUCAAGAGUCUUCUAGAUGUUUAGUACCAUUUGAAAAGAUUCAUUAUGAUAUUUGGGGUCCCUUUCUAGUAAAAUCCAUUGAAGGAUAUAGGUAUUAUGUAACCUUUGUGGAUGAUUGUACUCAUUUUGUAUGGAUCUUUCCCUUGUGCAAUAAAUCAGAU
rnacentral:sRNA from 1 species